AAGUGGAUUUAGUGAAGAACACUACUAAAGCGGAUAAUUAUCAAUAUAAUUCAAAAGUGAUUUUGAUCAACAUAAUUAGUUAAAUAAAUUAAAUUAAAGUUUUGCCCGAAUUGUGAUAGUUGUUAGGAAAGUUUUCCAAAGUGAAAAGAUUUUUUUCCUUCGCCUUGUAUAUAAGGAAACUCCAAGCCAAGAGGAUAUUCUCAAUAGGACUUGCUGUAGCAGACGGAAUACUAGAUUUGUGAUGAACAGUGUCUCCUGAACUCCACGUGUUUAGUUUUACCAGAGUUACAGUCAUAAGGAAGAUUCAGGUAUAAUUCAGACCGCGUGCCUGAGAGGGCCAAAUACCUAAUCACCAAGUGAGACAAUUACGUUCUUGUGCAUCCACGUGAAACCAUAAAUCGACAUUUCCUACGUUUCCGAUACAGGAAGUAACCCACGUGGUCCUGUACUUAUUGAGUCUAAUCGGGAAAUUCCAACUACAUCAAAUCAGAUUUCAGGCGUUUUCAAAUCACAUGGUAAAUUCCACAUACACCAAAUUAUAGGAAUCCACGUGUUUCUUAUUGAAUCCCACAUUAUGAAAAUAAUUUCAUCAGAGCUUCACAUACAUUAAAUCAUUUUGCUGCCGAAAACCUCCAAAGUUUAUUAUUAAGGAAAAGAAAGAAAAAUUCAAGAAAAUUUCGUUUGAUAUAUUAUCCUACAACUCUUAUUCAAAUUAACAUCAUAAAUUUAGUAAAAUGAAAUCAUAAGAAAUUUAAUUAUAUAGAUGGAACUUUAAUCCUAAAUUGCAUGGCAAUAAUAAACUACAAACCUAUUUUGUAAAACUAAAUCUGAUAUACUUAAGGAUAAAACUGGGGAAAAAAUUAUAUAAAUUUACGAUCGGAAUUAAUAAUCGGGAAAGCUUGCAUGAAUAUACACAUUUAUUUUUUUCAAAACCUAGAAUAGGAAUACGUGGAUAAGAAGGAAAAAGGAUAAUUUAAAUAAUUUAAAUACUACUCGCAAUUUAAACGAUAAUCAAA